CGCCUUUUGUAAAAAUAGAAGGUCUAACCUGCCCACUGAAUAAGUUAAAGGGCCGCGGUAUUUUGACCGUGCAAAGGUAGCAUAAUCAUUAGUCUUCUAAUUAAAGGCUGGAAUGAAUGGUUGAACGAGAUUCUAGCUGUCUCACUAAAAUAGAUAGAAUUUAACCUUUUAGUUAAAAGGCUAAAAUGGAGUUGGAGGACGAGAAGACCCUAUAGAGCUUGACAUAAAUUGUUUUUAUCCAAUUUAGAGGUAUCAAGGAUUAAAAGUGAAAUAUGUUUUGUUGGGGUGACGGGAAGAUAGAAGAAACUCUUCUGAAAUAAGCCAUUAAUGAAUGGUUAGUUGAUCCACAAUUGGUGAUUAAAAGACUAAGUUACCUUAGGGAUAACAGCGUAAUCUUUUUUAAGAGUUCUAAUCGACAAAAAGGGUUGCGACCUCGAUGUUGGACUAAGGGUUAUUCUUAGGUGUAGCAGCUUAAGAUUUAGGUCUGUUCGACCUUUAAAUCCUUACAU
rnacentral:rRNA from 1 species